AUUCACUGUGGUGUUUUAUGGCUUUUUAUUCCUAUGUGAUAGUAAUAAUGUCUCAUGUAGGGAUGGAAGCCAUGAAAUACAUUGUGAAAA
rnacentral:pre_miRNA from 18 species